rnacentral:lncRNA from 1 species
AUGGCAAGAGAACUCCAGGAAGUGGACAUACUCUCCCCGUGGGCGGUAAUAACUGCUCUCGAUCAUUCUUAUACCAAGAACAGGCAGAGAGGGAGGAACCCCAGGCGGCCAGUCCAAACCGAGGAAAUCCAACUGAACUUUUUCCCUGAAGCCCCCUCGGCAGAUGCUCCCCCAUGGCCCUGGCGACCCCAGAAGGGGCAGAAGAGGAGAAGACUACCCUCCCCCCACCCAGACGGCUCCUGUCUUGCUGCACCUCCAUCAGGUAUUCACAGCCAAGUCUCCCUGCUUCCCAACCAUCCUCGAUGCUCUAACAGCUCAGGUAAGAUCAAGGUCAAUUCCCUCCUAAAGGUCGAGGUGAGGUGGAAACAAGCCACGUGUCCAUCGGAGGGUGACUAGAUCAACAGAAUGUGGUCUCUGCACACAAUGGAAUGUUAUUCAGCCUUAGAAAGGGAGGAAAUCCUUACUCAUGCUGCAACACGGAAGAACCUUUAGGACAUUAUACUAAGGAACGGAAGAGUUUUUGACUUAAUCCAGAACUCCGUGGCUUUUGGAUCCAGAUAUUUUUAUCAAUAGACCUGGCUCUUGAGAUAGAAGUCCCGGCACAUUGCGAAUGGCGGGACAGACAUUCCCUUCUAACAUACACGGAUUGAAAACAAACCUUUAAAUCAGCUACUUCCUCGGUCCCUAAUUUCCAUUUUUAAUUCAGUGAAAAUUCUGAAUUGACUCUCAUUUCCCAAGUGGACACCUACUGAAGAAAAGGAAAUUCUCUCUCUUUUUUUUUUUUGGUCUUUUUGCCAUUUCUAGGGCCGCUCCUGCGGCAUAUGGAGGUUCCCAGGCUAGGGGUCGAAUGGGAGCUGUAGCCACCAGCCUACACCAGAGCCACAGCAACUCGGCAUCCGAGCUGCGUCUGCAGCCUACACCACAGCUCACGGCAAAGCCGGAUCCCCAACCCACUGAGCAAGGGCAGGGACCGAACCCGCAACCUCCUGGUUCCUAGUCGGAUUCAUUAACCACUGCGCCGCAACGGGAACGCCCAAGAAAAGGAAAUUCUCAAUCUCCGUUUUCUAAUNUCGGAUUCAUUAACCACUGCGCCACGACGGGAACGCCCAAGAAAAGGAAAUUCUCAAUCUCCGUUCUCUAACGAGGAAUAGCUUCACCUAGAAAGCCAGAAAGCUGGCACUCUAGUUUCCAAACAAGGCUUUGUGCCUUGGGUUAUUGAAAAAUCCGUCUGAGGCAUCUUAAGGCCCUGGCUAAGAGGACACACAGUCUAAAAUUCACCCCAGAGCCCCUUCUGGCUCUUCCAGGUCCUGUGUAAGUCCUCUGGCAAAUGAUUUAUGCUUCUCUGCCUCAGUUUCCUCAUCUUGGCUGUUGCAAAUAAUGCUGCACUGAACAGGAA